GACGAACGCUGGCGGCGUGCUUAACACAUGCAAGUCGAACGGAAAGGCCCUGCUUUUGUGGGGUGCUCGAGUGGCGAACGGGUGAGUAACACGUGAGUAACCUGCCCUUGACUUUGGGAUAACUUCAGGAAACUGGGGCUAAUACCGGAUAGGAGCUCCUGCUGCAUGGUGGGGGUUGGAAAUUUUCGGCGGUUGGGGAUGGACUCGCGGCUUAUCAGCUUGUUGGUGGGGUAGUGGCUUACCAAGGCUUGGACGGGUAGCCGGCAUGAGAGGGUGACCGGCCACAUUGGGACUGAGAUACGGCCCAGACUCCUACGGGAGGCAGCAGUGGGGAAUAUUGCACAAUGGGCGGAAGCCUGAUGAAGCAACGCCGCGUGCGGGAUGACGGCCUUCGGGUUGUAAACCGCUUUCGCCUGUGACGAAGCGUGAGUGACGGUAAUGGGUAAAGAAGCACCGGCUAACUACGUG
rnacentral:rRNA from 1 species